ACUGCUUUCAGGUAUAUAUUUUGCAGUAGUUUAUGGAUACGUGUGCACAUAAGCUCUCUCUCACAGAAACUGGUGUAUAUCUAGGUUAUGGGACUUUGUUAGAAAGUGAACUACCUGAGAUGAAAUUAGAGUGCACUAUAAAAGGAAAGGUCUCACCCGAGUAAUGAAGCUGAAGGGUUGUCAUUCCACACGUGAAGUCUCUGGACACAGUCUGAGGUGAAGCAUGUUGAGAACUUUCUUAAUGCCUGCUUGCCGUUCCUGCUUCUGAUUUGCCUGUCACGUGUUGGCGGUUCCAGCUGGCUAUCUACAGUAAAGCAGAAUACCAGCGGCUGACCUCCCUCAUGCAGCGUCUCAUCCCCUGCCAAUUCUUCCCCUAGCCAUCUACUUUGGACUGAGACUUGUAUCAGACUUUCUGGCAUACCCUAUAGACAUUUUACACAAUUUUAAAGCAGCUUAUUUUCUUUCACGCUGCUGGUUUUUCAUAGACUGAUCCUGAGUAGUUCAUAGACUUUACAGACUGUUGCCUUGAGGACUAUACAAUGCCAAAUAGCCCCUCUGUUUGGUGGGUCAUGCCCUCCCACCUCCCCCUCAUUAUGUACCCUUGCCCCUCCUCCCCCAAGCAGGGAAUGUACCUUUACACACCAGUCCUUCCCUUCACUUCACACUGGCUUUUACUACUCCCCUACUUGUCCCUUCCUGUUUUGUUAUAUCAUUUAGGUUUAUGCCCAAAAGGUUUCUACUCCAUGAUAGUCUUUUACAGACUUUGAACCAUCUUAUGCUAUUACUAGAUAGAAAGAUAGAAAAGAUGUAGAGAUAUUGUGAAGAGAUGGUUGAGCAGGCUGCGCUUAAACCUAUGAGAUAAGUCCCUCCAGGUAAGUCUCUCUCUCUAAAGAGGGGUUGAGCACAGGAGGACGCAUAAAUCUCACAAGGUUGGCAGCCAUUUAAGCCUUCCCUCCUCCACAGAAAGUCCUACAUCUUCCCACCUGAGCAUGGAACUCUUUAAUAACAUUUAAGCCUGUUCCAUUCCAUUUUUCUUUACUGUGUCCAUUUAGAUAUAAAGGGGAAGGAGGAGAUGACGCUGAGGAAUUAUUCUGAUGCAGUCUCCGCCCCCAGGUUUUACCAUGCCCCGCGAAAUCCUAGCAGUGCCCCCUUCAACAAAUCCUGGCCCCACAUGUCACCCCUGGUUGUUGCCCAAUAAAAGCCCCCUCACCCCCCUUGCUCUCUCUGGGCUCUCGGCUCCCCCUCUCUCUCGCUGGGCUCCUUCAGGUCACGCGCUCUCUCUCUCUGCAUGGUGAGGUAGUGGGGACGGCCAUUGUUGGCUGACUCCACAUGGCCUGAGCCACCCCCCCAUCCUAUAAUAAAGAUUUGUGUACCCCA